AUUGAACGCUGGCGGCAUGCCUUACACAUGCAAGUCGAACGGCAGCAUGAUCUAGCUUGCUAGAUUGAUGGCGAGUGGCGAACGGGUGAGUAAUACAUCGGAACGUGCCCUGUAGUGGGGGAUAACUAGUCGAAAGAUUAGCUAAUACCGCAUACGACCUGAGGGUGAAAGUGGGGGACCGCAAGGCCUCAUGCUAUAGGAGCGGCCGAUGUCUGAUUAGCUAGUUGGUGGGGUAAAGGCCCACCAAGGCGACGAUCAGUAGCUGGUCUGAGAGGACGAUCAGCCACACUGGGACUGAGACACGGCCCAGACUCCUACGGGAGGCAGCAGUGGGGAAUUUUGGACAAUGGGCGAAAGCCUGAUCCAGCAAUGCCGCGUGUGUGAGGAAGGCCUUCGGGUUGUAAAGCACUUUUGUCCGGAAAGAAAUGGCUCUGGUUAAUACCUGGGGUCGAUGACGGUACCGGAAGAAUAAGGACCGGCUAACUACGUGCCAGCAGCCGCGGUAAUACGUAGGGUCCAAGCGUUAAUCGGAAUUACUGGGCGUAAAGCGUGCGCAGGCGGUUGUGCAAGACCGAUGUGAAAUCCCCGAGCUUAACUUGGGAAUUGCAUUGGUGACUGCACGGCUAGAGUGUGUCAGAGGGGGGUAGAAUUCCACGUGUAGCAGUGAAAUGCGUAGAGAUGUGGAGGAAUACCGAUGGCGAAGGCAGCCCCCUGGGAUAACACUGACGCUCAUGCACGAAAGCGUGGGGAGCAAACAGG
rnacentral:rRNA from 1 species